rnacentral:rRNA from 1 species
AGAGUUUGAUCCUGGCUCAGGACGAACGCUGGCGGCGUGCCUAAUACAUGCAAGUCGAACGAAGCUUUCUUUCACCGAAUGCUUGCAUUCACCGAAAGAAGCUUAGUGGCGAACGGGUGAGUAACACGUAGGCAACCUGCCCAAAAGAGGGGGAUAACACUUGGAAACAGGUGCUAAUACCGCAUAACCAUGAACACCGCAUGAUGUUCAUGUAAAAGACGGCUUUUGCUGUCACUUUUGGAUGGGCCUGCGGCGUAUUAACUUGUUGGUGGGGUAACGGCCUACCAAGGUGAUGAUACGUAGCCGAACUGAGAGGUUGAUCGGCCACAUUGGGACUGAGACACGGCCCAAACUCCUACGGGAGGCAGCAGUAGGGAAUCUUCCACAAUGGACGAAAGUCUGAUGGAGCAACGCCGCGUGAAUGAAGAAGGCCUUCGGGUCGUAAAAUUCUGUUGUCAGAGAAGAACGUGCGUGAGAGUAACUGUUCACGUAUUGACGGUAUCUGACCAGAAAGCCACGGCUAACUACGUGCCAGCAGCCGCGGUAAUACGUAGGUGGCGAGCGUUGUCCGGAUUUAUUGGGCGUAAAGGGAACGCAGGCGGUCUUUUAAGUCUGAUGUGAAAGCCUUCGGCUUAACCGAAGUAGUGCAUUGGAAACUGGAAGACUUGAGUGCAGAAGAGGAGAGUGGAACUCCAUGUGUAGCGGUGAAAUGCGUAGAUAUAUGGAAGAACACCAGUGGCGAAAGCGGCUCUCUGGUCUGUAACUGACGCUGAGGUUCGAAAGCGUGGGUAGCAAACAGGAUUAGAUACCCUGGUAGUCCACGCCGUAAACGAUGAGUGCUAAGUGUUGGAGGGUUUCCGCCCUUCAGUGCUGCAGCUAACGCAUUAAGCACUCCGCCUGGGGAGUACGGUCGCAAGACUGAAACUCAAAGGAAUUGACGGAAGGGCGAAUUCCA